rnacentral:rRNA from 1 species
AUUGAACGCUGGCGGCAGGCCUAACACAUGCAAGUCGCACGAGUGGCGGACGGGGGAGUAAUGUCUGGGAAACUGCCUGAUAGAGGGGGGUAACUACUGGAAACGGUCGUUAACACCGCCUACCAUCAGAUGUGCCCAGAUGGGAUUGGCGUGUUGGUGGGGUAACGUCUCACCAAGGCGACGAUCCCUAGCUGGUCUGAGAGGAUGACCAGCCACACUGGAACUGAGCCACGGUCCAGACUCCUCCGGGAGGCAGCAGUGGGGAAUAUUGCACAAUGGGCGCAAGCCUGAUGCAGCCAUGCCGCGUGUAUGAAGAAGGCCUUCGGGUUGUAAAGUACUUUCAGCGGGGAGGCGUUACCCGCAGAAGAAGCACCGGCUAACUCCGUGCCAGCAGCCGCGGUAAUUC